rnacentral:rRNA from 1 species
UGAUCCCGCCGGAAGCUACUGCUAUCGGGGUCCGACUAAGCCAUGCGAGUUGAGAGGGGUAAGCCCUCGGCAUAUUGCUCAGUAACACGCGGAUACCUGCCCUUGGGUUCGGGAUAACCCCGGGAAACUGGGACUAAUACCGGAUAGAUCAAAGAAACUGGAAUGUUCUCUGGUUAAAAACUCCGGUGCCCAAGGAUGGGUCUGCGGCCUAUCAGGUAGUAGUGGGUGUAACGUACCUACUAGCCUACGACGGGUAAGGGUUGUGAGAGCAAGAGCCCUGAGAUGGAUUCUGAGACAUGAAUCCAGGCCCUACGGGGUGCAGCAGGCGCGAAAACUUUACACUGCGGGAAACCGCGAUAAGGGGACCCCGAGUGCCAGCACCUAGUGCUGGCUGUCCAGCUGUCCAAAUAACAGUUGUUAGCAAGGGCCGGGCAAGACCGGUGCCAGCCGCCGCGGUAACACCGGCGGCCCGAGUGGUAGCCGUUAUUAUUGGGUUUAAGGGGUCCGUAGCCGGCCUAUUAAGUCUCUUGGGAAAUCUGGCGACUCAAUCGUCAGGCGUCCAAGAGAUACUGGUAGGCUUGGGACCGGGAGAGGUGGGAGGUACUCCAGGGGUAGGGGUGAAAUCUCGUAAUCCUUGGGGGACCACCGAUGGCGAAGGCAUCCCACCAGAACGGGUCCGACGGUGAGGGACGAAAGCUGGGGGCACGAACCGGAUUAGAUACCCGGGUAGUCCCAGCCGUAAGCGAUGCUCGCUAGGUGUCAGGUGCGGUGCGACCGCAUCUGGUGCCGCAGUGAAAACUUGGAGCGAGUCACCUGGGAAGUACGGUCGCAAGGCUGAAACUUAAAGGAAU